ACCUAUGGGGGGCAGCAGUAGGGAAUCUUCCACAAUGGACGAAAGUCUGAUGGAGCAACGCCGCGUGAGUGAAGAAGGGUUUCGGCUCGUAAAGCUCUUUUGGUAGUGAAGAAAGAUAGAGGUAGUAACUGGCCUUUAUUUGACGGUAAUUACUUAGAAAGUCACGGCUAACUUCGUUCCAGCAGCCGCGGUAAUACGUUGGUGGCCAGCGUUUUCCGGAUUUUUUUGGCGUAAAGCGAGUGCAGGCGGU
rnacentral:rRNA from 1 species